rnacentral:rRNA from 1 species
GAUGAACGCUGGCGGCGUGCCUAAUACAUGCAAGUCGAGCGAACAGACGAGGAGCUUGCUACUCUGACGUUAGCGGCGGACGGGUGAGUAACACGUGGAUAACCUACCUAUAAGACUGGGAUAACUUCGGGAAACCGGAGCUAAUACCGGAUAAUAUAUUGAACCGCAUGGUUCAAUAGUGAAAGACGGUUUUGCUGUCACUUAUAGAUGGAUCCGCGCCGCAUUAGCUAGUUGGUAAGGUAACGGCUUACCAAGGCAACGAUGCGUAGCCGACCUGAGAGGGUGAUCGGCCACACUGGAACUGAGACACGGUCCAGACUCCUACGGGAGGCAGCAGUAGGGAAUCUUCCGCAAAGGGCGAAAGCUUGACGGAGCAACGCCGCGUGAGUGAUGAAGGUCUUCGGAUCGUAAAACUCUGUUAUUAGGGAAGAACAAAUGUGUAAGUAACUAUGCACGUCUUGACGGUACCUAAUCAGAAAGCCACGGCUAACUACGUG